rnacentral:misc_RNA from 1 species
UUAUAGAGGUCUAAAUCCAAAACUAAGUAGGAAAAUAACUUAAAAGACCUAAACUAAUUAGGACUGGACUUUAAAAGUCCUAAACUAAAUAGGAAUAACGUUUAAUUGACCUAAAUUAAAUAAGAAACAAAAAUACAGGUAUCUAGGAGAAUAUAGAGUCCAAUUAGAGUUAGAAUUAGUUAGAAGUCCUUAAAAAUCUGAAAAAACAGACUUGACAAAUCUGAGACAGCCUAUGACAUGCCCUGGGCAUGUCUUUAUGCUGUAUUACAUGCCCCAAGCCUGUAGUAUUCUGUCCACUUUUCAGAUGCCCCAUCACACAGUAGACAGACAAAUACAAA